GGCCUCGUAGCUCAGCUGGUAGAGCGUGCGCUAUACAAAAGCGUAGGCGGCGUCCGUGUGUGGGUUCGAGUCCCAUCGAGUAUA
rnacentral:tRNA from 1 species